rnacentral:lncRNA from 1 species
GAGAAGAAAGAGGUUGGAAAAACAGGGGCAGGGGCUGUUUUUUUUUUUUUUUUUUUUUUAAACUUUGGCUUUAGAUUUCUCCUCCUUUAAGCCAUGAAAUCCACUUCUAUUUAUAAAGGGUGGAAGAGAGAUAUUUUAUCUUUUAUUGUGUCAAAUCUUGGCCCUUGAUUUGACCCCGAAGGAUUCUAACUGUUGGCUCAAAGUGGCCAUCAUGAACUGGAAGAGUUACUGCAAAAACAAGUUGGUUGGGUUGGCUACUUUAGGGCAGUGGUGUCAAUCGGCCAGAAUGGACCACAUUGUGGUGUAGUUAGAUGUCAGGCUACCAUUUGCGUGCAAGUUUUGUCAAAUUUGGUGGAAAGAUGAAUCAUUAAAAUGCUUUGGGAAGGUUGCUCCUUGAGCAGUAUUUUCAGCUGAAAAUAUGAAUAUGAAGAUGAACAGUAACUAAAACAGCACUUUUUUGGUAAAGUUCAUUUUAGUCCUUUGAUUUAUGAUUUCUUUCAAUUACACCUCUGAUUGUCUUCAAACUUUCAAAUUUUUUCAAUUGUUCCCCUGAUGAACUUUAAUUUCAUCCCUGGGUUUCAACGCCUUUUUUUUUAUUUUGAUCAUUGGUCUUGAAUUUAUGCAAAUUGAUUCUUAAUUAAUCAUUAAACUUUCAAUUUUUUUUAAAUUCACCCCUGAUUUCAUCCAAUUUUAUCCCCAUAGUUCGACGCCUUUUACACAAAAGUUCUUGACUGUGGAUUUCUUCAAUUUAGCCCUUAAUUGACCCCAAAACUUUAAUUUUCUUACAAUUUUACCCUUGAUUUGAACCAAUUGACUUGGUAAAAAUUAAAUUUGGUCUCCUAAAAUUCCAAUCUUCUCGAUUAUGCCCAAAUUAGGCUCCCAAACUUAGUUUUUCACUAAUUAAACCCCUAAUAAAAUUAAUUUGACCUAUUUAAAGUAUAAUUAAGUCCUUGAACCUAAUUAAAUGCUUUAAUUGGACCCAAAUUAAUUCUUAAACAUAAUUAAAUUCUUGAUUUGGCUCAACAUUAAAUCAAAUUGGCCUACUAAAUAUCUAAUUAUAUCUUCGGGCUUAAUUUUUAUGCAGCUUCGUCCAUUUAUCAUGUAACUUGACCUUGAAUCUACAUUGUCUCCUCAAUUUUGGGUAAAAUAGGGUACAAUUAGGCUCCCGAUUCCAUUCGAAAUUCCAACUUGAUUUUUUUCUUCAUUUGAAAUCCUCCCAACUUGCUUUUGCAAAAGUACUAGUCUUCUUGCUAUUAUUAUUAUUAUUUUAUUAUUUUUAUUUUGGAAAGAAAAAAAGGUGAAUUUGGGGAAUGACUUAUAAAUGAGUUAUGAUAGUUGCCUCCCUCGUUACAAUGCUUACGAUAAAAAGUCUUGUAAGAGACUUUAAAUAAUAAGCUUUGUAAAGAAGAAAAAAGGAAUGAGAUAUAAUGGAUUCAUCAGAUCAAGAAAUGGUCAAUCCUUCUGAAAAUAUUUGAAGUGAGGGCUCAAAAGCGCAUUUAGAGAAAAAAUAGAUAUGGCUAAAAAGUGCACUAUUCAAAGAAUGAGGGCUAGAAAGAACACCCGAAGGAAAAAGAAGAUAGGGUUUGUAAAGAAAAAGAUGAUAUUUAUGAAAGAAUUUUUGAAGUGGUAUGGUUGUACUAGACAACAUGCUUAUUGGUAGAAUUCAAAGAUUUUGAAAUGGUCAAAUUGUCAUGGGUGAUGUAAAACUCGGGAAUAAAACUUUACAAAAAACAAUUGGAGAUGGUUAAAUGUUUAGGGGAAAUUAAAUCAAUUAAAUUGCUGGGAGGGAUUUUUCUAUAUAUAUAUAUAUAUAAAUAUAAAGAAUAGGAAAAGGUGUGACCAAAUUGUAAAAGAGAUGAAAGAAAAGGGCCAAAGUGUGAUUAAAAGAAAAAGGGAUUAUAAAUAACCUUUUCUCAUUUUCUUAUGGCCGGACAUGGUGAAAAGAAAUGAGGAGGAAAAAUUUCAGAUUUUUCCUUCACCAAACUUAAGAGAAAACACAUAAAUUAUUAAGACUAUGCAAGUCUUAGAUUACUAAGCAAAUAAAACACCAUAAGCAAAAGGAUUAACAAGAAGACAAAUGAAGAAUUUGUGAAGAGAAAAGGGUGGAGAGGCCAACUACAUGUAAAGGAAAAAGGAGUUAAAAAUCCUUAAUCAAACCAUAAUUUAAACCUAAAUUUCCUCCUGGUAUGAAGUUCUAAACCAAUUGUGAAAACCAAUUUAAAUUCAAUUAAGAAUUGAGCACCAAUUUGAAGUUUAAAAAAUCAGGGUUUUUAAGUGAAAUUUAGGGGAAAUGCAGAAAUGAUUGGAGUUAAAUGGAAUAAAGUAGUAUAGGUUGCCUUAAAGAUGAAAUUAUACAAAAAGAUUAAAGAAAAACCAAUGACCAAAAGGGCAAGAGUGGCCGGCCAUGAUGGGUUAGAGGGGAAGAUGAGAAAUUCUGAUUUUUAUUUGUUGCUUAAUAAGAAUAUUGAAACAUAUUGCCAUGAUGUGAACAAUGAUGAAAUAAGGUGAAUGAGUGUAUAAAAAGAGGAAGGAACCCUUAGUUCGGCCAAGAGCCAAGUGAGGGGAGGGAAGAAGAAUUCUGGUAUGUUGUGUGUUCUUGAUGCAUGAAUUAGUUGUAGUGGAAAGCUCACUAAUAGGGAAAAAGCAUGAAAACUUGAUAUUAGGAGACUUUGCGAGUCAAAUACGUGUUACGUAAAGCGGAAACAAAAUUAUUAGCCAUGGGAAUAGCUCAUGAUUUUAGCAUAGGAGGAAUCAUGAAAUAUAGGAAAACAUAGAAAAUGAUUGUCGUAUAAGAAAACAAAGGAAGUGAGGAUAGCAGAAAACUCAUUUAAAAAUCAUCGAUAAAAUUUGGGUAGAUUCUUCACCUCCAUUCUAGAGAGGAUUCAGGCCUUAGAAUGACAAAAUAUGGGGAAAAUCUCUGCUUAGAAAUUACAUAUGGGGAUGUUAGCUUUCCAACAAAUCUGAUCUCAUUUAAUUUGGAGCUCUGGAGCUCUAGAUAUAGGUAAAUGUAUGAGAGGUCGAGCUGCCACCCUUAAUGGCAGAUUCAACAAAAUUGACAAAAUGAGGAAAUUUAGCCAUGAUAGGGGUAGGAUCCAGUUUCCUUCCUUCCAGGAAUUCUGUAAUGUCAUGCCUUGACACCAGAAGUGAAUAAACCAUACUUGAAAUUGAAUUUUGUAAUGUGCGCCAUGAUUUAAUAAUGAACCGUAAUCUUAAGAGUUAGUAAUGUGAAGGUAAAUAGAAGAAAAACAAUGGAAAACAAAGAGUAAACAUUGUUGUUAUUACUAUUGUUAUUUUGCAAGAUUUAAAUUAGUAUGUAAUAAUACGGUAUGGAUUAAUGAGGAACCGUAGAAGGAGUACAAGUGUACAACAACAACAAGUAAGUGCGAACCAAGCUUCUGUGAUAGGUAGGUGUUCCAUACCUAUACUCUUCUUAAAAAAUAGUGAUUUUUGUAUUCUAUUUUAUUUUGGACUUAGCACUUGCGAAUAAAGCCAAAGAAAGAAAAGAUAUGAUGAAAUGGACGUAGAAUGGAAUUUGAUUUUGUUUAUGGACUUAUAGAUUCGAUUACGAAUAAUAAAAUAUAAUUAUGAAUUCAAAAUAAUAACCUCUGAAUUUGAUUAUUCAAUCUUGAAUAUGGGCGGCUAAUGAUGUUAGCAAGAUUUGAUAACAUUAGCAUGAUCCUGAUGGAAAGUUAAGGAAUAUUGAACAUGAUUAACUGUUUGGGUUAAGAAUAAUUAAUGAUACUAACAUAUAAUGUUGGUACUGGCAAACUUAGGAGAACUUGAUUAGCUUCCCAACGAGGAAGCUAUUGAUGUGAAGGUUUCUUGACAUCGACAUUACCGGAAAUAUCUCCAAGGUGUUGCUGAAAACUGAUUGAAUAUUUCAGGUUGGAAAUAGUUAACGGCAUCAAUCAGUUAAGUUAUUGUCGACAUUACCAAAGAUUUGAUUAGUUAGUCAGGGUAAGGGUGACUAAUGACACUAAUGGGAACUAUUAGUGUCGGUAGUGACUUUCCCAAAAUUUAGAACAAGGUAACAAAAUGGGUGUUCUCGGUGAAGAACAUUUGGUAAUAUUUAUGAAAGGGAAACAAUAAAUGAAUUUAGGAAUGAUAAAUUCCAGAUAUAGUAAAGGAAGAUUUAAGUGUGGAUUCCAGGACAAUUAUGAUUGUGUAAUAUUGAGUAUGUGUGUCUAUAUAUAUAUAUAUAUAUAUAUAUAUGUACAUGUAUUGGUAACUCUCUCAUAUCUGUUAUAUUUUUACCUUUUAAUAUAAUUAUUCCAACAUUGUGAUAUUGUAGGUCCUUCACAUUCAUGCCAGGAAUAGUGUCUUAGGUUCUCUUGUUCCUUUUGUAUGAAUUAGGAAUUAAAUGAAUGCUAAUGUAUUUUGCCAUUAAGUAAUUAUAUGACUUGAAUUGUAAUAGUAUCUCCGUAUAUUAAAUGUUGAGACAUAAGAUUUUACUAUUUUAUGCUUGUAAUAUUAAUGUUGCUUAUCUAUGUUUAAUUAUGAAUUUCAUGUGUUUAAAUGGGAAAUAAAAUGAAUAUGUGAGUUGUUAUGCUUUUGCCUAUAAAUAAUUGCUGUUGCGAUACAAUAUAAUUAUGAUAUGAUUAUGGAAUGAGUAUAAAAUGUGUGCAGGUUAAAUUGUUGAUAACUUGGGACCUUCCGGUAUAGGAGAGACUCUACUGAAAUUUUAGUAAUCCUUAGAUGAGUUCGGCAAAAAAAAAAAAAAAAAAAAAUUUUCCCUAUAAUUUUCAUUAGUAUGAUUGAUUUCUUUGAUCCCAGAAAUGAGAAUGUUAUAGGUGACCUGCUCAGAUGAAAAAGACAAAGGUUUUUUCAAAGUGGUCUCAUUGUAAUGGAUGACCUACCUAAGUGGAACAAUACUUUUGUUUUUGAGUGGUCUCAUUGUAAUGGGCGACUUGCCCAAGUACAAAGAUUUUUCAAAGUGGUUUUAUUGUAAUGGGCGACCUACCUAUUUGGAAAAAUGCAAAGAUUUUUUUGUGUGGUGAAAAAUGCGAAGGUUUUUUAAAGUAGUUUUAUUGUAAUGGACGACCUGCUGACACAACCAAAAGAUUGAUGUCUUCUUCCAAGUGUAGGAGUGUCAAAGUAAUAAAUAACCCGGCAAGACCGGGGUUGAACCACAUGGAGGUUAAUUGUAUAAAUUAUAAAUAACAAUAAUACAACAACAAUAAUAACAACAAUAAUAACAAUAAUAGUAAUAUUAAUAAUAUUAUUAAUAGUAAUAAUAAUAAUAAUACUAAUAAUAAUAGUAGUAGUAGUAGUAGUAGUAGUAGUAGUAGUAGUAAUAAUAAUAAUACUAAUAUUAAUGGUAAUAAUAAUAAUAAUAAUAAUAAUAAUAAUAAUAAUAAUAGAAGAAGAAGAAGAAGAAGAAGAAGUUGAUGAGAAUUUUGAGAUGGAAGAUCAAUGUGAGAAUUAAACAAUGAUAAAAACAAGUGUCAAGGUUAGAGGAUCCACUAAUUGUAUUUCAAACAAGUAUAGUAUAAACUCUUAUUACUUAACUAGAAACCACACACAAAGGAGGUUCCAAUUAGAUUACAAAUUGUUAACAUGAUUACAUUAGUUAUUUUAUUUGAAUAAUGCUAAUACUUGUAAAUAAUGUCAGGUAUUCAUGAUUAUAACUUAUAUUAACAACAAAUCAAGUUCCUUUCAUAGCACAUGUGUAGGUUAUACCAUACGGUUGGGCUAUGAAAGUGCCAAGCAUUUGUUGUGCCAAGCAUUUGUUGUACUAAAUGUUAUACAACACAAAUCUAAAUUAACCAUUUAACAAGCAAAGUAUUAAGAGUGAACAAGAUAACAAAUACAAAACAUGUUAGUAUCAAACAUUAAAGUCCAUGUUGAGUUUACACUAUACUUAUUCUUACACCAUUAGUGUAACCUUUUCACCUUGACAUAAUAAACUUAGCUAAACAUAAUGAAAGAUAGAAACAUAAAUAAACAAAAUAAGAACAUAAAUAAGAUACAAGUUAACUAAGUAAAGGAAAGGAAAUGAAAAGCAUAAACAAGAUAUUAAUGAAAGCAAAACUUAAGAAUUACAAAAAAUAUAAUGAGAGAGAGUAAGAGCAAGUUCUUGAUCUGAACAAAAGCUCCUAAAUGCAUGGAAAAUGCCUCCCUUUAUAGACCAAAAUUUGGAACUAUUGAUUUGAUGACUAAUUAUUGAGUGGGUGACCAACUCUUGACUUGGUGAAAAUCCUUAUCUUCUUGUUUGAACAAAACGUCAUUGUUAACAUCAGAAGUGGAACCAACUAUACUCAUGAAAGUUCUAGGAAAUUUUCUUAUCUUUCCAGGAAAAAAAAUUGAGGUCAUUUGGACUUCUAGAACUCGAGAUAUGGGCUGAACACUGAACAAUGUCUGAGUUGCAAGACAUAUUUGGACUUCUCUGUUGUUGCUAUAAUUUGGACUUGAAAAUGGACUUUUUAAAUCUUGGAAUCCCAUGAAAGUUGUAGGUCUAUAUCUUACCUUUCCAUCCAUAUAAAGCAGACUUAAAUCUGAGAUCUACAGCUCCAGAUAUGACCUAAUUACCGAAGAGUGUUCUAGUUUGGACUGCACCAACAUUUCUUUUUUAAGUUUGGCCCUCUCUUUGUCCUUUCAAUUUCAGUAUUUAAACUCAUCAACCAAUCCUUUCAUUUAUGUGAUAGGCCUGCAUUUAAGAUGAAGAUUUACCAUAAAUUAAAGUUAUCUUAUAUUAUUAGAUAUGUUAUUAUAAAACAUGCUUUAGUAAGGAGUUAUUGAUACUUCAAGUGCAAAAUGAUGAUAUAAAACCUUGAUAAAAAUGCACUUUUAAGUACUAAUCACAUGCCCAGAUGAAAAAUACAAAAAUGGUCUCAUUGUGAUGGGCGACUUGCCUAGUUGGAAAAUACAACUUACCUGGUGAAAGGAUUUGGACAUAGAUGUCUUAAAGAGAUGACAAGAUAAAGCUUGAAGGUGCCCUAUCUAGGAGAUGAGAGCUCAAAUGAGCACUCACGGGGAAAAUAGAUAGGGCUCAAAGGUGCACUAUCUAAGAUAUGAGGGUUCAAAGGCACACUCAAGAAGAGAUGAGAUAUAGAGAUAGAGAUAAGGCUAUAAAGCACAUUAUCUGAGAAGCAAGGGCUAGAGAGCGCACUCGGAAGGAAAAGAUGGAAUAGGGCUAGAAAACACACUUGAAAGGAGGUAGGAUUGCAAAAUGCACUACCCGGGAGAUGAAGAUAAAAAGGCACACUCGAAAAGAAAGAAAUAGAGUUAGAAAACAUACUAUGUAGGAGACGGGGGCUAGAAAGCACAAACAAAAGAGGAACAUGAGAUAUGACUAAAAAGCGCACUAUCUGAUAUACAAGGGUUAGAAGGCGCACCACGAAGAAGAAAAAAAGACAGGGCUAGAAAGCACACUAUCUGGGUAUAUGAGGGCCCAAAGGCACUUGAAAGAGAUUUGCUUGUGAGACAUUAAUUUGUCAAAAAUCAAAGUAAUGCAUUAUGAUUAAUAUUCAUGUAUACUUACCUAAGAAAUAUAGGUCCUCUUUCUUCACUGACUUUCCUCCUUCUUGAAAGUUUGAGUCUCUAUAAUAAGCUUCAAUGACUUUUUUGCUCUUACUUACUCGAGUCACAACUUGUGAUCUUGAUCUCUGGGAAGGGUAUGAUAUUUACAUACUUUUUUGCUUACAAACCUUUAUCUCAAAGGUUAGCUCUGCCCUACAUAUUUUAUUUGCUUAGAAAAGGAAUCACAAAGCCAGCCCUAUUAUGUGUUUUGCUGAAUUGCCCCCUAGCCUGAUCAUGCCCCUAAAUGUUUAAUUCAGGUUUUUUUUUUGUAGGGAUGAGGCUAUAGAAAAGAAGAUUUGGUUAUUUACAAGGAGUUAUUUUCAUGAAGAUUUUUUUGGAAUUUCAAAGCUAUUCCAAACACAGAAACCAUUUUGACGUCAGUUUCAAGCAAAAUUGGUAUGAAGAAAUGCAAGUGAUUCCUAUAGGCAUGUUUGAAAGUCUUUUUUUGCUAUUUUGGUAAAAGUGUGAAGUGAUGUUAUGUUAGUCAGAGUGGUUCAAGAUUUAAUUUGAGAUUUUUAGAAAACAAAUCUUUAAAGCAUUCAUUUUGUUUGUAUGAAUAAUGAAGCUUGUUUUGUAUGCAAAAACAUUGCCUAUCGAUUUAGAUUGCAUGUCUUUGAACAUAAAGGGCUUGAUUGGUUACAUAACAUAGGCUUUGUCUACAAAGAAAAAGGAUAUUUAUAGGCUCAAAAGGUGUUUAAGGGAUUUGAAUCACUAGUGCUUGUUUCUAGACCUCUUUUGGUCCAUGUAUUUCUAGACCUUUGACUUGUAAAAUCAUCUGUCAUGCCCCCUGUCACAACCCAAUUUUGGGUUAUUCCCCAAAAAUCUCUUUUUUAAAAAAUAAAAAUAAAAAAAUAGAAUAAAGGCUAGCACUGUGGAGAAAGCCGAUAAAAAAGGACUGCAAAAAUAGGCAAAAAUCAAAGGUCAAAUUAAAUGCAUAUUCGAAGGUCAAAUUAAAUGAUUAUUGGAUGAAUUUGCAUAAAAAUUAAGUCCAAUGACAUAAUUAAAUUUUUAAUGGGCCAAUUUGAUUUAAUCAUGUGCCAAAUUAAAUUUUAAUUAUGUUUAAGAAUUAAUUUGGGUCCAAUUGAAGGAUUUAAUUAAGUGCAAGGACUUAAUUAUAGUUUAAAUGGAUCAAAUUAAUUUGGGGGCUUAAUUGGUGAAAAAUUAAGUUUGGGAGCUUAAUUUGGACUGAAUUGAAAAGAUUGAAAUUUUAAGACCAAAUUUAAUUUUUACCAAGUGAAUUGAACAUAAAAAUUGAGGGACCAAUUUGGAAGCUCGAAAAAGUAUUUUGCCUAUAAAUAGCAGCCUACAAAAAUCAGUGAGGGGGGUUGAUUUUAUAAUUUUGGGAGGAAAGAGAGAACCCUAAAAACAAAUACACAGCCGCCCCCCACUGUUUUUUGGUUUUUCUCCAACUACAGCCGGCAGCUCCCCUGAAGCUCCCCCUUCUGAUUUAUUUUCUUCUCCCCGGUUUGUUGCUUCCCCAAAACAACAGCAACAUUGACAAACCAAAGAGCCCCCGCUGUUUUGUUUUUUUUUCUCUUCUUUCCCACAGCUCCCAGCCGCAUACUCUCGUCUCCAGCUCCCCUCACAAAACCAGCUGGACUCCCUCGUCUCCAUCCAGCCAUUUUUCCCCUCUCGCCAGCCAAAGUUUUCGCGUCCCUUCAGCCCCAAAACAAACCGAAAAAAACUGGCCCCCGACCUUUAACCAAAGCCAACCAGCUAGCUCCCUCCUCCGAUUGAGUUCCCCAUCUCCCCGUCAUCUGCCUCUUGCAGCCAAACCAACCUCCUCUACAUCCGGUUUUCACUGCUUCCUCAUAACCAAGAGAACCCCUCUCAGCCAUGGGAACCUACUCCCUUCUCCCCAUUUUUCCAAGACUGUAGCCGCAGCCUUCUCCUUCCAAAAAAUCCAGCCGGUUCCUUCUCUGGCCGUUUCUUCCUUCAUCUUCCCUGCUUGAAACUGAACCUAUUCCUUCCUUCAUCUCCCUUGCACGCCGGCCUUCACGAUCUCCUCUCAGCCACGACUGCUUCUCCUUCGGUUUCCUUCCACAGCAGCGACGACCGAACAGAUCCAGCGCCGGGGCAACACUGUCAUCAUCUCCUUCAACCGGUGGCAGACCCAUGAUCCCCUCUUCCACAGCAGCGACGCCCCUCUGGUUCGGGUCCUCUUCCUUGCCGGCAAUUUGAAACGGGGAAGAAGGAGAAGCCCAAACAACCGGAUCUGUGGGAUGCAGAUAUAAAAAACCGAGAAGAAAAGGGGACAACUUGUUGUUGUGUUUUGUUCUUUUUGCAGGUGACAGUGGUCAUCAAUACCAGUGCAGGGAAGAAAGGGGAGACGAAGCUGAGCAGACCCACCCAUUUCCAUCUGUUCGCGACGGCGCGUGAACCCACGCGCCGCCAGUGGCGGUGGUGCGUGAGGUCCACGCGCCGCCACUAGUCAAAGCAAUCCAGAAGGCUUUCCUACAAUUCUGCGGUGGUGCGUGAGGUCCACGCGCCGCCACUAGUCAAAGCAAUCCAGAAGGCUUUCCUGCAAUUCUGUGUUUUUGGGGGUCUUUUCUGUAAUUUUGAAAUUGUUAAGGCCUUGUUUGGGUAAAUUUUGAAUUGUUGCUAUUUUGUAAUAUGUAAA